rnacentral:rRNA from 1 species
AGUGAACGCUGGCGGUAGGCCUAACACAUGCAAGUCGAACGGCAGCACAGUAAGAGCUUGCUCUUACGGGUGGCGAGUGGCGGACGGGUGAGGAAUACAUCGGAAUCUACUUUUUCGUGGGGGAUAACGUAGGGAAACUUACGCUAAUACCGCAUACGACCUACGGGUGAAAGCAGGGGAUCUUCGGACCUUGCGCGAUUGAAUGAGCCGAUGUCGGAUUAGCUAGUUGGCGGGGUAAAGGCCCACCAAGGCGACGAUCCGUAGCUGGUCUGAGAGGAUGAUCAGCCACACUGGAACUGAGACACGGUCCAGACUCCUACGGGAGGCAGCAGUGGGGAAUAUUGGACAAAGGGCGAAAGCCUGAUCCGGCCAUACCGCGUGGGUGAAGAAGGCCUUCGGGUUGUAAAGCCCUUUUGUUGGGAAAGAAAAGCAGCAGGUUAAUACCCCGCUGUUCUGACGGUACCCAAAGAAUAAGCACCGGCUAACUUCGUG